rnacentral:lncRNA from 1 species
UAGAUGCUAACAUAAAAAUUCAGAAGUGAUCGUAUUUAUAGAAAUAGUGGUUAGAAUAUGAACAAGUUGACUCAUAAUGUUCAAAACAUUAUUUUCUCCAACUAGGAGCAAUACUCCCAUUUUUUUUGUAUCACUUUGUACUGUACAGAAAUUUGAUGCACAUUUUUUAAUUUGGCGUUUGCUAAAUGUUAGGUUGGGCUAAGAAUGAUCUUUCUUUGACUCGAACUAGUCUUUCUUUUUUCUUUUAAACAUUUUUUAAAAAGAGUUAUUUAUUUAUUUAUUUAUUUAUUUAUUUAUUUAUUUAAUGUAUAGGAGUACUCUGUCAUUCUCUUCAGACACACCAGAAGAGGGCAUCAGAUCCCAUUUAUGGGUGGUUGUGAGCCACCAUGUGGUUGCUGGGAUUUAAACUCAUGACAUCUGGAAGAGCAGUCAGUGCUCUUAACUGCUGAGUCAUCUCUCCAGCCCCCAUCAAACUAGACUUUCAGGUUACAAGUUAUUGUGGUCACUUUUAGAUGCAGAUGAUGAGGAAUACAAAGUAUACUGACUAAAAUUCCACAGCUAGGGAGUCUCCUAGUCAUGAUUCCAUUGCAGGUGUCCUGGGCACCAUGUCCUAGCUUCAAGUCUGACACUGGGAUCAUCUUCUCUAUGCAGAAGUGCUGGAUUUCGCCUCUUCCCCCAUUAUUAAAAAAAAAAAAAAAGCAAUAUUUUUCUGAAAAUUUUACACAUGUAUUUCAUAUAUAUAAAUAUAUGAUAUAUAAUAUAAUAUAGUUUAUAUACAUACAUUUUAUACAUGUAAACAACAUAUCUUUGUCAUACCCACUCCUCAUCCCUAGAAUCUCACCAUUACAUCUCCCUCCAAAUCUCAUGUCCUCCUACUUAAAUGAGUCAGUUAAUUAACUAACUAGUUUAUUUAUUUAAAUCCACCAAGUGCAGCCAGUGCUGUUCACAUUUUCAUAGAUAUGUGGUUAUCCAUUGGGAUGUGGCUAACCAUUACUUUUUAAAAAAUGAUUUUAUUGAGGCAAUUCUCCUAGUGUUCUUUGGUUGGCCUCGAAUUCCCGGGCUUGAGUACCCUGUCUCACUCAGUGUCCUGAAUUCUGAGCCCAUAGAUAUGCGGCACUGUGACUGAUGGAGGCCCGUCCCUAGAACUUUGGCCAUUUCUUUAAAUUAAAAACAAUCCACUUGUUACAUUGGAAAACUUGAGAUAUCUCAAUGAAGAUAUUUAACAUUCCAUAUGUAUAGAGGGAGCUUAAAGAUUUAAUGGUCAUGUCUGUUAUAAGCAGAUAGCCUAUUUAUUCUGCCAGAGAAGGUUUGUGUAUUUUAAAAGGUGCAAUU